UCGCCGCCUCCUGGCACGACUGCUUCGGCGCGUGCCACUGCCCUUCUUUUCCCGCUUAUGGUUAGAUCCACCUGUACCUAUCUGUGCUUCUUCUUCCAUCCAUUAGAUCCGACUCAAAUCCUAUUGCUCUCAUUCAGUUCUAGAUCUUUCAAUGUUGCCUCAAUGAUGGCCAUCCGUGUCUGGUGCUCUGUUCAAUCAUGGAAUCAUUACGAAAUAAUCUUUACUGGUGCUUUCUUUAGUCCGUGCUAAGCUUAUUGUCCAAUUAUUUAGAUCUAAUAAUGUUUACAGACUGCGCAAAUGUGACUAUCGACUUCUGCUGCUAAGAAUGUUAAUCAUGUUUUCUUUUUCUCUAGCUUCUGAUUAUGUCCCAACUUUUAUGAUGUAACAUUUGCUAUCCUACUCAAACCGAUUUAUUUCUAUAGUUUUCCUGGGCUACGUGGUACACCAGCUCUUGUAACCACACACUUCUAUUGUGCAGUUUGCCGUAGCUGCUGUGCUCCCUCACAGAUCUGCCCACAUAACGCCGCACGUUGCCAACUGACGUAAGCAGUUCCUCCAUUUAAUUUGCAAGUUAAUUAGAGAUUUCCUGUUCCAGCGAGGACCACAUUCACAUCACUCGGCUCUCUAGAUCGAUCUUUACAUUACUGGUAAAAUACUAAUGUUACUCUCCCUGCCUCCUUAUAUUACUUCCUAUUGGGUUUCUUUCCAUGGUGUUAACUGCAAGUCAGCAAGUGUCCAAUUCAUAGCAAAUUGCUGUGCACUCUUGGUUUCCCGUGGCUAUGAGGCUAUAUCAAUCGUAUGCCCUAUGAAUUUGGCUAUGAAUUGGACAAGGAGAAAAUACAUUUUCUACAAUCGGUAUGCGAUGAAACUGUUCCUUCUUGUUGUAAAUAAAUGCUGGGUAUGCGAUGAAACUGUGAAAGAGGAUGCAACAUAAGGAGAUGAAAUCUGCCUACCAACAAAGAGUAUUCACCUUUUUUCUGUGAUCCAAUCCAAGAUUUUCGCUUGUUAAAUGAUGCAGGGAUAAUCCUGGUUGACUAGGCUGUCAAUUUCAUUUUCUCCUUUUUGUUUCCAUUUAGAUGACUGUUCCCGCUUACUCACGUUUAGCUCAUAUUAUUUUUAUCUAUCACCUCCUUCCUUAUGCAGAGUCAGUACGGUGGGUAAACCAUGCAGUCGACAAGAUGUGGCCUAUCUGUAUAGAGAAGAUCAUUUUACAACUUCUACAACCCAUCGUACUGUGGUACUUGGAUAAGUUCAAACCUUGGACGGUUGUAUAAUUUCCUUUUUGUAUCUUGAUUUUCUAAUUCAUAUGCUCCAUUUUGUGAUAUUUUACUAGGUACUGCCACUUUAACAAUGCUUAUUUUAAGUCAGUUACCAUUUUAGUUCUGCAACUAGGCAUUACCAUCCAUCAAUACCAGAUAGCUCACUUGAUCUGGUUAUUUUACAGAGCAAAGCAAGUGUACAGAAGCUUUACAUGGGUAGGAAUCCACCAAUGUUUACCUCCAUGAGAAGUUUGUUCAGAGCUGGCCAUUUCUUGGCCAUGUAAGACUUUGCUUUGUGCAGCCACCUUAUUUUCAGAUGACUGAAACUACUCAUUAAUUAUGGGCUUGAUGCCAUUGAGUUCCCACGAAGUUCAUGAUGACUGUUACUAUUGUCCUGUGUUGUAAUUUUUCAACACAGUUAGGAUUUUGUUUCUUACU